UAAGAAGAAGAGACCUCCUAGUGAGACACCCACAACUAUGAGAGUGGUAUUGUCUCCUCCUCCUCCUCCUGGUGGUGGUGGAGGAAGUGCAUCUACAUAUGGUGGAGGUGGUGGAUCCACUACCACUGUUGGUAUUGGAGGUGGUGGAAUGAAUGGUGGUGGUGGUGUCCAUGUUGGAGUUGGGGGUGGUGGUGGUGUCCAUGCUGGAGUUGGAGAUGGUGGUGGUAUCCAUGUUGGAGUUGGUGGUGGAGGACUGAGGGGUUUAGGUGGUGGCGGUGUUGACGUAGGUGGUACCUCCUUCGGUGGAGGAGGGGGUUGGUGUUUUCCUUUUGGUGGUGGUGGGGGAGAAUAGUAUUCUGGAGAAGGUGGUGGUGGGGUAUAAUAAAGAUAAGAACCUAAUAAUUUCCUAACAGGGGCCCUAUUAGAAGUGAUUUGUGAUUAACAGAAGGGAUGGUGAAUAUGUUGUUCAUAUGUAUAUUUAUACUACUUCGUAAGUGGUUUUCUUAACAGAUAAGUCGAGAUCUUUAAAAGCUUACUUGCAUGUAUAUUGCAUUUUGUUUUGCAAGUUGGCUAUUUGAUCAUUAGUUUUUCUUCGUAUUAUUGAGGAUGUCAUUUUCUCAAAGUCUUUUGGAAAUUUAAUACUAGAUCGAAAAAUAUGAGCUUGUUGAUAAACCUGAUCCUGAAAGGAAAUGAAUCAACUCUCCAAAUCAGAGAAGUUUGACAUGCAUAAAAAAGCAUAUUGGGUUACAUUUUAUAAUAAAUCAAACAAAUGCGUAUUUUUUAGUCAUAUAUAGGUGUAAUAAUUCAGAUUUUUUUUUUUCUUUUACAUUUUUGAAUAAAUGUGUAAUCAUGCUUGUUCGAGAUUCUAUCACAUUUGAAAAUUUCAGAGUGCGAGUAUGUGUUUCCUUCCGAAAAUUUGAAAGGCUACUAUUUUCUCCAUAUACGUACCUGUGGAAAUUCUGUAAAAACAUUAUGUUAUAAAUCUUACUAAUUUCUCAUUUUUCUUCUUUAUUCACUUCGUAUUUGCUUCAUUUCAUAUACUAAUUCCUUUGCCCUAUGACAUCGAGAACUUUUCUUUUGACAAAGAAAUAGUAGGUGCAAUGUGAACAUAUGUUCCUUUACCAUUGAAUGUUUUGUGCAAGUACUUUUAUUCUAAUGCCAAUGGAACGUGCUCUUUUAGUUUAUGAUUCAACAGAGGAAUGAUAUAUUUUGCAUCAUUAGAUCGCAAGUUGCUUCUGUAUUUUUAUAUAUCACAGAUAGAAAAUGUGCUUUCUUUAAUUUAGAGGAAGUAUUUUUUUUAUUUUUUUUUAAAUAAUACCUUAUACGUUGCUUGUAUUUCUGUUCCUCCUAUGGGAACGUGUGGAUAUUGCAUAAAAGGAAGUUGCUAGGUCUCAAAACGUGAUGUUAAACUUUGUGACUUAGGCACAGUGAGCACCAGAACUUGUGGAUAUUGCAUAAAAGGAAGUUGCUAGGUCUCAAAACGUGAUGUUAAAUUAUGUCACUUAGGCAUGUGUGAGCACCAUAUAAAUUUGAGGAGCGCUUAUUUAUCUUGUAUUUCGCCUCUACUAAUUCAUCUUUUUAAACAAAAUCAUGUCUUACUGAUUAAUUACAUUGAAUAUAAUUUUGUAUCUUUGUGUACUACACCCAUAUUUGGAUCAUAUAUUUCUUCCUAUAAUUCAUAAUUGAGACUAGCUAUAGAUGACAUUUUUUAUCCACAGAACUUUAAGAAGGGGCAUAUAUUGUUGUUCUGCGGUGGAGGCACAAAAUAAUAUGGAUUGGCUUAGCAAUUUGCCGUGCUCGAUUCAGGGUCACUUUGUUUCGUUCUUUCUAUUAGAAUUACAGUCAGAACCAGCAUUCUCUCAAGACAAUGGAAAGAUAUAUGCCGUUCUAUUUCAUAUUUGGAUUUUGGCCAUUUUUAUUUUAUUUCAGAAAGGAACAUGAAAGAUAUUAAGGACAUUAUCAAUCAAAUGCUUAUUCUUUGUGAUGGGUCAGAUGUACAGUUACUCAAACUUGACAUUGACGUUGGUGGCGAAGACAUAUUUCAACGUAUGAAGUGAGAGCGAACUAGAGUUUGUUCAGUAUUUGCUGGAGGGAACACUCUGGAGCCAGUGAAGAUUCGAAACUCAAAUGCAAAGCAGAAAGUUACAGAGGGACGAACAAAGGUUACUGAAAAGUUGCUGACUUUCUCCCUGUGCACGGAUAUUAUAUUCCUCUCUGAACCAAUAUGAAUGAUUUUAAUGGGUGAGUGGCAUCUCUGAACUUUGUCUUGGUUAUGCUUUGAAAAAUCAUGAUAUGAAAGUAUGUCACUAUAUAUCUGUGUGCUGGAAUGCUCCAUUUUUUGCACUUGAUCUGCACUGAGUCAUCCAAAUUUGUUUUUACACGAUUGACUUAAUUUAUUACCGAACAUAUCACUCAGUGACCAAUAUUCACAUCAUAUAUGCUGACAUGAUGCAAAUCUUUGACCCCUUUUCCUCAUCUUAUUACUGUAGGAUUUGGGAAAGAGAUAGGUUGUUACUUGUGUCUAGACUAUGGCUUGAGAAUAGAUAGGUGGAAUCACAAGUCUUAGGAGCUUUCGCUCAUUCUUGAGUCUUGACAAGAAUUCAUACUUUGUAAAAUCCAAUAGACAUAGUUUGUCCUAGAGUCUGGCUCGCCAAAUGUCCCCCUACAACUAGGUUUCUUUUGUUUGCACUUUUAAUAAAUCUGGUCUUACAAGUCUAUUGAACUAUGAGAUGUCGAGAAAUCCCAUACACAUUCACUGUGGACUUUGGUGUAGUCACUAGUAUAUCAAAGCUAAAAAAAUACAGAAACAUACCAGAGAGUCGCCUAAAAAAUAAGUUACCAUAGUAUAUGAUCCGAGGUUUUUUUAUGUUUUAUCUAUCACUGUGAUGAGUUUAGCUUAGGUCAAUGAUAGUAAUUAAGUUAAGGCUGUUUGUUGUCUAAUUUUUAAUCAAAAUCUGACUGAGUAAUUUUCUUAAAUAUUGGGUUAAAAGAGAAUGGAAGUUAGGGAUAUGAGUGCUAGGUAUAGAGAAUGAAGAAAACGAAGGAGUUAAGAAGGUUGAUCUGCCUAAUGAGUAGGUCUCCUUGGUAGUCUUAACUUCAAUUAAGCAAUUGUAGUGGGUUUGGAGUAAACUAUUUUUUGGCUACGGCAAAUAUCAUUAGUUUUCAUGAACGUGGUCUUGCAACUUCACAUGAAAACAAUCUCGUGAUAUUUGAUGGCUUUGCAGAUUUAUUGAAUGAAGUUCCCUUUAUGUGGAUAAACAAUUAUAUUUUUUAACAAACAACAUACACUACAUUAUAGUUAGAAAUAACAGUCAGAUUAUAAGAUGUUGACGUUACGAUUAAAUUAUACAUGAGAUACCCUUAAACAAAGGAAGCAGUUAAGAAUGAAGUCCUGGAUUUUAUCCAUAUGUACAACAAGAGAAUAAACAACUUACAAUAUGAGAGAAUAAAAUCCAAUAUGAAAAUGAGUAAAUUACAGUACUUAAUGCACACAUCGACCAUUAUGGGACACACUUCACACUAUCUUAUCUAUAAAUCAAUAAAAUCCAACUAUUAUUACUUAUAUAUAUUGAAAAUAACCAGAAACCACUACUGGAUCUGGCUUGGUAUGUGAUAACUGAGAUAUUGUAAGGUACUUAGAACUAUUAUUUUUGGAACUGACAUUUGCAGAUGUAUAGAGCAUAGUAUCUGAAAAUGAUGAAGAUAUGAUGUGUUAUUAGGGAUGAUUAUUAUGGCCGAGAAGGUGAUGUCUUGAACCAGUUAUGCCUUCAUGAGGAUGACCAUGUUCUCCAACUGGCAAUAUAACAUGACCUGUACCAUGAUGAUGAGGACCUUCUCCCAUGGCUUCAUGAACUGGCAUAUGUUCCUCAUGGUGAAUGUGGACAGGGAUGGGAACAGGCACAUGUACUGGAUGAGGUUUCUUUUUCUUUUUAACAAAACAAAAUAAACCAAUUGCCAGAAAUGCUAAGAAGAAUAGACCUCCUAGUGAGACACCCACAAUUAUGAGAGUGGUAUGGUUGUCUCCUCCUGGUGGUGGCGGAGUUAAUACAAUUUCAGGAAUUAAUGGACUUGGUGGUGGUGGUGGACGAAAGUUACCUCCCACUGGCGGUAUGUAUAUUGGAGUUGGUGGAGUGUAUGGUGUUGGUGGGGUAUAUGGUGGUGGUGGUGGUGAUUUUGGUGUCCAUACUGGAGUUGGUGGUGCUGAUGGGUUGUAUGGUGAUGGUGUAGGAGUAAUGGGAGAAGGUGGUGGUGGUGAUUUUGAUGUCCAUACUGGAGN
rnacentral:lncRNA from 1 species